rnacentral:rRNA from 1 species
UACGGAAGGUCCGGGCGUUAUCCGGAUUUAUUGGGUUUAAAGGGAGCGCAGGCCGGUGGUUAAGCGUGACGUGAAAUGUGGACGCUCAACGUCUGAACUGCGUCGCGAACUGGCCGCCUUGAGUGAGUACGACGUGGACGGAAUUCGUGGUGUAGCGGUGAAAUGCUUAGAUAUCACGAAGAACCCCGAUUGCGCAGGCAGUCCACGAGUCCUUUACUGACGCUAAAGCUCGAAGGUGCGGGUAUCGAAC